UACGUAGGGUGCAAGCGUUGUCCGGAAUUAUUGGGCGUAAAGAGCUCGUAGGCGGUCUGUUGCGUCGGCUGUGAAAACCCGAGGCUCAACCCCGGGCCUGCAGCCGAUACGGGCAGACUAGAGUGCGGUAGGGGAGACUGGAAUUCCUGGUGUAGCGGUGAAAUGCGCAGAUAUCAGGAGGAACACCGAUGGCGAAGGCAGAUCUCUGGGCCGUAACUGACGCUGAGGAGCGAAAGCGUGGGGAGCGAACAGG
rnacentral:rRNA from 1 species